CCCUGAGGAGGAGCAUUGUUGUUGUAUCCAUAGUCUCCUCCAUCUUGUUGAUUUUCAUAGUAAGGUUGAGCACCACCGUAACCGUAACCUCCCCUUCCACGUCCUCUUCUUCUCCCGCCCCCUCUUCCUCUACCAGAUGAUCGCUCGGGGUUCAUACCUCCAUCAUCAUACCCAUGAUCCCUUGGAGGAGGAGCAGCGUAACCAUAGUCUCCUCCUGUGUUUAAAAAGGCUCAUGGCGCUCCAUGGCGAUGAAGUAUGUGCCUUGCGCCUUGCGCCAUGGCGCAUCGAGGCUCUCGCCUUGAAGACCACUUGAAACUGUGAUUAAAAAAAAAAAAAAACUAAAUUACUAUGAUGAUGAACAUGCAAAUAAAGCAUUCAAUAACGUAAAGAACAUGCAAACACAAACUAUACCAUAAAGAGCAAUAAAAUACAUGUUAAAAAUGAAUUUCAAUAUAUAUUAGAUUUGUUUCAGUUACAAACAAAGAUUAUACAUCAACUUGAUCACAGGAGUCCUCAAGCUACAAUAUACUAGUAAGCGUCAAUUAUGUAAGCAUCAAUCACUUACUGUAUAAAAGAAAAGAAGCACCAAAAUUACAGAGAUAAGCAAUCGCAGUGCAUUCUAGACUGUAACCAAGAAACACAAGUAGUCAUAAUAAUAAGAAGAAGAACCUAUGAGACUAACCUUAAGCAAAACACUGUGAGAUAUAUGUUUUGUGAGAAUUUUUGACGUUUGGUUUAACUUUGAAGAGGGAGCUAGGGUUUUGAUGAGUAUUUUUGACGUUUUGUUAUAAGAUUGGUGAAUUAGUUAAAGCAGGGUUUGGUUUCGUACCUGGUUUAGUGUCGGUUAACAUAGGGUCUCCAAGGCGCGCCUUUGCAUCGCCUUUGAAGGCACCGCUUUAUGGCCAAAGCGCACUAGGCGAGCGCCUUAGGGACCAUACCCUUGCCUGGGAUGUGCAUGGCGAUGGAGCUAUCGCCUGAGUGCGCCUUGCGCCUUGGCGCAUAAGGCGAGCGCCUUUUUAAACACAGGUCUCCUCCACCUUGUUGAUCUUCAUAGUAAGGAGGAGGACCGUCGUAACCUCCUCUUCCACGGCCACCACGUCGUCCUCCUCUUCCCCCGCGCCCUCUUCCUCUACGCUCAUGAUCCCUACCUCCAUCAUCAUACUCACGAUACUGUUGAGGAGCAUUGUGUCC
rnacentral:lncRNA from 1 species